rnacentral:rRNA from 1 species
GACGAACCGUGCAAACGUUAUUCGGAAUCACUGGGCAUAAAGGGCGCGUAGGCGGCUCGAAAAGUCAGGGGUGAAAUCCGGCAGCUUAACUGUCGCAGUGCCUUUGAUACUGUCGAGCUCGAGGGAGGUAGGGGUCUGUGGAACUUCCGGUGGAGCGGUGAGAUGCGUUGAUAUCGGAAGGAACGCCGGUGGCGAAAGCGACGGACUGGAUCUCUUCUGACGCUGAGGCGCGAAAGCCAGGGGAGCAAACGGG